UACGUAGGGUGCAAGCGUUAAUCGGAAUUACUGGGCGUAAAGCGUGCGCAGGCGGUUUGGUAAGACAGAUGUGAAAUCCCCGGGCUCAACCUGGGAAUUGCAUUUGUGACUGCCCGACUAGAGUGUGUCAGAGGGGGGGUAGAAUUCCACGUGUAGCAGUGAAAUGCGUAGAGAUGUGGAGGAAUACCGAUGGCGAAGGCAGCCCCCUGGGAUAACACU
rnacentral:rRNA from 1 species